rnacentral:rRNA from 1 species
CAAUAGCGUAUAUUAAAGCUGUUGCGGUUAAAAAGCUCGUAGUUGGAUUUCUGUCAAGGACAACUGGUCCGCCCUCCGGGUGAGCACAUAGUUUGGUCUUGGCAUCUUGCUGGAAACUGUUGCUGCGCUUGGUUGUGUGGUGCAGCUUUCAGCACUUUCACUUUGAGGAAAUUGGAGUGUUUCAAGCAGGCACAUGCCUUUGGACACAGUAGCAUGGAAUAAUUAGAUUGGGCUUUUGCUCCAACUUGUUGGUUCCUGGAGCUGAGGUGAGAAUCAAUGGGGAUUGUUGGGGGCAUCCGAAUUUAGCCGUCAGAGGUGAAAUUCUUGGAUCUGCUAAAGACGGACAACUGCGANANCGUUUGNCCAGGAUGUUNUCAUUNA